rnacentral:lncRNA from 1 species
CCACUGAAACUCUGUUAAGGCAAAAAGAGCUGCUUGCUUUAAGAUGGGCGCCUCCGAAUUCUCCAGAUGCAGGCCCCGGUCAGGUGCGGGGACCCAGUCCUUUCCCGGGCAGAUCCUCGGGGAAGGAAGGCUCGUGGUUGACCUCUUGAGGGCCCCGCGCUGAGGUCCGUGUCUCUAAACGCUGUCCCACCCUCGGAUCAGCUGUCCCCUGGGCCAGCGCUCCCUCGGUGCCCCCAACACGUCCCUCUCUCUUUCGGCGGACACGUGGGCGGGACGGCGGAGUGCGCUGGGGAGGAAGGGAGUCUGAGAGCCUCCCCACCUGGGAAAAUGCUAAUUCCUGUUUUUUAAGAAAAUAGGCUAAGAAAAGGCUCAAGGGAGUGUAGGACAUCAAAGAACUCGCUUAAAACAACUUUUUCGGAUGAUUUAAAUGAAAAUGAGGCAGACAUAUACGGAUUAAAUUUUCCCUUUAAAGCAGCCUGAGGUUUAAAGAUUACGGGGAAGAGCGAUGGAGGUGAAAUGCAGGGGGUGGUUAUCAUCAGAGCUUCCCCCCAACUUGGGACCGAGCGCCUGCGCCCACGAUGGGCUCCCGCGCAGCCCGACCCGGUGGCCCCCACGCCCCCACGUGCGCCACGUGCCCGGGACGGUCCCUUCCCAGCGGAUGAUGUAUGCGGCUUGCCAGGCGAGAAGUAGGCCAUGCCAGCCUUGAAAGCACUUCAGUUGGGUUGUUUUUGCUCAUGAAGGACACGUCGUCCUGUAAUUAUUCUGUCAUUGCUUAAAAGGUGAAAUCUUAGCAGGGCUGUGCUUUAUGCGUUGCUGGCAGGGUUGCUGUCAGCGCUGGCCUCGGCGCGCUGGAAUCCCCGUUCCCGGUGGCUUCAGUGAGGAGCCAAGAGGACCUGGACAUUUGAAAAUGUGGACAUGGGAAGGAGAGCAUUGGGCAACGUUGUUUCAGCAGCUUCUGCAGCCGGGGGAGGAGGUGUCUUUGCAGAGCCGUCCGUUCUAUCAGCGGUCUUGGUGCAGACGCCAGUGGAUGGCCCAGGAACAGCAGCCUCAGCUCCUUGACUCUGCAUUAGCCACAAAAUAGCCCUUUGGACACUGCCCACCCUGGAGCAUGGCCACAGAAAGCUGGUGUUCUCAUGUAUCCACUCACGGAUGCCACAAAGAUUUCCUGAGUACCUCCUAUAUUCCAAGAACUAAGGGUUAUGGAUACAGCAGUAAACACAACAUACCUACCUUUGUGACCAUUAAGUACAAGGAGAAACCUAGUUUCUAUCCCAACUGAGCAUACAUACCUAUGUAGGCACACAGCCGUACACAUUGAAAGAGUUUCAUGAAACAACAGCGCUAAUCCUUGCCAUGAAAAGCAUGCUGGUGUUUUCUGCAUUCUAUGACAUUUUCUAUUAGAUCAUAUUUUACAUUCUUUUGUUUAAAAAAAUACGAUUGUUAGUCCUAUUAAACUGAUGUACGGCCCCUGGUGGAUUCCGACCCACAGCAUAAAAAACACUCCUGAAUAGGAAUUCCAGUUGUUUUCUCUAGUGUUUAUUAAGCCUUUACUAUAUCCUAGGUGCUGUUCUGUGUCCGUACACUAACUUAUUUCGUCUUCAUAACUUGACUGCCUUCACUCAGCUAGUAAGCGAAGGGGGCGGAAUUUUGUUCCAGGCACUCUUGCUCCGGAUCCCGCGCACUUAAACAUGGAGAAAGUGAGUAACCCGCGUAGCCAAAGGGACUAGAUCUUGUAGGAGACGAGUCUGAGGGAGGACGCCCACAUCUACUUAGGAAAAAAGGAUUAGAGGGAGUGGUUUGUGAGCAGUCAGAGAAAUAAGGCCUUGUCACUGUUGCUGCAAAGCUGUUUUUACUUUAGGCUGUUACGGCCUGGAAAGUACGGUCUCAUUUCAUCUCUGCUUCUGCUGGACCUGCAUGCUCUCAAUGCAAAUCUGGUGUUUUCAUCCUCUGACUUCAGAACUUUCAGUCGCUCUUCAUGGACACCUUGUUAAAAUCCUUGCCUUGGCAUGGAGUGUGUCUCCCUUUCCACCCCACCGAACUGGUACUCAGCCUCCAUUCCCGGCACUCCCCAAUUAGCAGCUACAUCACAAACAGGCGAUAGGAUUUGGCAGUCACCAAAGAGACCAUGGCCUUGCCUGCCUCUGUGCUUUGGUACAUGCUCCCUGCCUUGCCUGGGAGCCCCUUCUCAUCUUCAUUUUCUGUGAAGUCAGUUCCUUGAUCAGAAGCAAUGCUCUAUGGAAUCCUGUGACGGUAGGUAAAGCAUUCUGUACCUCCCCAGAUGGUAUUUGUGACAGAGUAUUGUGUGCCGGGGAAGGCAAAUCUGUCCACAGAAUAAGUGCCCAUUCCAGUAAGAAGGAAGCAUUGCCUCUCCCAUGAUAAAAUCAGCCCAAUGCAGUCAAUCAGGUAGCUGGUUGAUAACCCUAGAGAAUCAUUCUAUACCAGGGUCUCUGCUGCUGGCACAUUGGGCACGUAGCAGUGGCUGAGCCAGGUCAGUGGUGCGAAAUGCAAGUUCUGUGUUUCAGAGCCCGUGUGCAACCCACCUCCUUGCCUCCAUGGCCACCUGGUUCAUGAGUCCCUUGGGCAAUGAUAGGGUGGCUGGGAAGGGGGGUGUUGGCUUCCCCGGGAUGGGUCGUCCUUUUCACUUGGUUAAUAAAACCCUCUUCUGCUAUAUAGCCA